AUUGAACGCUAGCGGCAGGCCUAACACAUGCAAGUCGAGCGGAUGACGGGAGCUUGCUCCUUGAUUCAGCGGCGGACGGGUGAGUAAUGCCUAGGAAUCUGCCUGGUAGUGGGGGACAACGUUUCGAAAGGAACGCUAAUACCGCAUACGUCCUACGGGAGAAAGCAGGGGACCUUCGGGCCUUGCGCUAUCAGAUGAGCCUAGGUCGGAUUAGCUAGUUGGUGGGGUAAUGGCUCACCAAGGCGACGAUCCGUAACUGGUCUGAGAGGAUGAUCAGUCACACUGGAACUGAGACACGGUCCAGAGUCCUACGGGAGGCAGCAGUGGGAAAUAUUGGACAAUGGGCGAAAGCCUGAUCCAGCCAUGCCGCGUGUGUGAAGAAGGUCUUCGGAUUGUAAAGCACUUUAAGUUGGGAGGAAGGGCAGUAAGUUAAUACCUUGCUGUUUUGACGUUACCGACAGAAUAAGCACCGGCUAACUCUGUGCCAGCAGCCGCAGUAA
rnacentral:rRNA from 1 species